CACAGGCACAUCGCACAUAGAUCGAACUCCAAUAUGACCAGAUCAGACACCGAUCAAGACACCAAACGGUUCUAUAUGGAAGUCGUCAUCACCGUUGCUAUCAACAAGUGAUGGGUUUGUCAACACCGUCUUCUGGAUCCAGACCAUUCUCGGCCGAAGCUUAGGUCGGGUAUAGGGCCGACGAGAUCGGAAGAGCAUGGCAUCCCCGAUGAAUAUCUUCGUAGAAAGACAAUUGUAGUAAGGAGUAACUUGAAUCCAGUCUUGAAUGAGGAGCUCAUGUUGUCUGUUCCUUGGCGAUAUGGAGAAUUGAAGGCAUGGAGCUUUACAGUUGGCCUGCAGCUGGGGUCAGGUUACAUCGUAUGAUGCUUGAAGAUUUGCCGAAUGGUAUUAUGGAUGAGGUACUGUGAGCACGUUGCCAUUUGCUUUGAAAGAGUUUAUCCAUAUCAAAGAAGGGUUGCAGUUGUGGAGAAGAAAUUUUGUUGUCUCUGGAUGUAAUGAAUUAUUUUUAGUUGGCGAAUUUGUUGUAUGAUGCAUUUUUUUAAUAUAGUAUACGGUACAUGAAAUGUAGAGGU
rnacentral:lncRNA from 1 species